AUUGAACGCUGGCGGCAGGCCUAACACAUGCAAGUCGAGCGAGCGGCGGACGGGUGAGUAAUGUAUGGGGACUGCCCGAUAGAGGGGGAUAACUACUGGAAACGGUGGCUAAUACCGCAUACGAUCGGAUAACCCAUAUGGGAUUAGCUAGUAGGUGGGGUAAAGGCUCACCUAGGCGACGAUCUCUAGCUGGUCUGAGAGGAUGACCAGCCACACUGAGACUGAGACACGGACCAGACUCGUACGGGGGCAGCAGUGGGGAAUAUUGCACAGUGGUCGCAAGCCUGAUGCAGCGGCGCCGCGUGGGGAAUGACCGCCCUCGGGUUAUAAACUCCUUUCACCAUCGACGCGGUAGAUGGAGAAGAAGCACCGGCUAACUACGUGCCAGCAGCCGCGGUAAUUC
rnacentral:rRNA from 1 species